UAUUUCAAGUUUAAAGAUUUGUUUUUCAUGUUCUUAAACUUUUUAAAUAAUCAACGUUAUAUUUUUAAAAAGAAAUUAUAAUAUACCACGCAUUGUAACAGGUAGAUUUUUUACAUCCUCCGUUUCCACCAUGGACUUCGAUGGUUCCUGCUUGGUGACCAUCUUCGUGAUAAUUUUCUCCGGGCUAGUGCAUCACCGAUGGUAACGUUCAUCGCAUCUAAUCAUUUAAGCUUCUCCGUGUUAAUAGUCAGGACCUCGCUCACGUGCCAAGGUGCUACUUGGGUGGGAGAAAGGUCAUAAGCACGAUGACUUUAUAACUCAACAAUUUUUCAGCGACUGACAACGUGUUAGCGUAUCAUGCACGACGUAUUGUUCACAUUGUAUAUGCGUGUGGUUAGGCUGUUGAAUUACGUUGAUUUUUCUUUUACUGUAUUCAGAAUAAUUUUGAAUAUACAUAUGAGAAACAUAUA